GAGAGAUGGCCGAGUGGUUGAAGGCGCACGCUUGGAAAGCGUGUGUAGGGGCAACUCUACCGAGGGUUCGAAUCCCUCUCUCUCC
rnacentral:tRNA from 1 species